CUGGAAGGAGCUGGGGAAGAAGAUGGGUGCCGGGUGAAGAAACUGAGAUCACAUUGAGAAGGAUUCCUAAUGCGUGGAACUCAGGAGUGGUGAAGUCAGGUGCUGCCUCUGGAGAUAAAACUAGCCAUGAAGGUCAUAGGAUCAGCAUAAAGCUGAGCAGGCAAAUUCUCGUGAAGACCCCUCAAGGAUGCACCGUACCUCCCAUGUCGCCUCUACAGCGUGGACAAUGUGGGCUACUCGCUGGACCAGAGCAACCUCUUUCCAGGAGCUCAGUGGCAGAACCAAGCUCAAGGGCUGCCCACAUUCUAACCCCCUUGCUACCCAACAGCAGAUGGGGACGCAAGAGGUCCAGACCGUGAAGACGUUAGUAUCCAGAGACGGAGUGUAUGAAGUUUUCCAGGGGCUCUGUGAUUUGUGGUAUCGUGACAGAUCAAGGCAUAAGCAGAUAUGAGAAUGCAGUUAUCUUCAGCGAAGGCAGGUAAUAAAGAGUUAUA